rnacentral:rRNA from 1 species
CCAAAAGAUGGCGACCGGCGCACGGGUGAGUAACACGUAUCCAACCUGCCGAUAACUCGGGGAUAGCCUUUCGAAAGAAAGAUUAAUACCCGAUGGUAUAAUCAGACCGCAUGGUUUGAUUAUUAAAGAAUUUCGGUUAUCGAUGGGGAUGCGUUCCAUUAGGCAGUUGGUGAGGUAACGGCUCACCAAACCUUCGAUGGAUAGGGGUUCUGAGAGGAAGGUCCCCCACAUUGGAACUGAGACACGGUCCAA